UACGGAGGGGGCUAGCGUUGUUCGGAAAUACUGGGCGUAAAGCGCACGUAGGCGGUAAAGUAAGUCAGAGGUGAAAUCCCAGGGCUCAACCCUGGAACUGCCUUUGAAACUGCUAUACUAGAAUCAUGGAGAGGUCAGUGGAAUUCCGAGUGUAGAGGUGAAAUUCGUAGAUAUUCGGAAGAACACCAGUGGCGAAGGCGACUGACUGGACAUGUAUUGACGCUGAGGUGCGAAAGCGUGGGGAGCAAACAGG
rnacentral:rRNA from 1 species